AUACGUAGGGGGCAAGCGUUAUCCGGAAUUACUGGGCGUAAAGGGCGCGUAGGCGGUCUGUUAAGUCGGAUGUGAAAUGUAAGGGCUCAACCCUUAACGUGCAUCUGAUACUGGCAGACUUGAGUGCGGAAGAGGCAAGUGGAAUUCCUAGUGUAGCGGUGAAAUGCGUAGAUAUUAGGAGGAACACCAGUGGCGAAGGCGGCUACCUGGACCGAUACUGACGCUGAGACGCGAAAGCGUGGGGAGC
rnacentral:rRNA from 1 species